CCAAGACUUCCCUUUGGUCUUUGCUUCCUGCCAUAAUCAAUGAGAAGAUGACAAAGGCAAUACCCAGAAGAUCUCAUUUGAAACCUGCAGAUAGGGAAGGGAGGCCUUGGACAUACAAGACUCCAGAAAAUGGCUAUAACCACCUAAGUUCACCACAGAGCUGUGGCCCUCAUAAUCCAUCUCAUUCCCACUUUGAAGCCUGGCUGACUUGGGGUGUUCUUGGUCCCCCACUGUAGAAGCCUGCAACCAUGACGCCAUCUGUCAUCCUGUGACACAACAGAAGGCCUUCACAGUAGCCAAGCAGAAAUCAGCUCCAUGCCUUUGGAUCUCUGAAAUUUCGAGUUAAAGAAAUCUAUACUUUGCAGAAUAUUUACUCUGAAGCAUUUUGUCAUGUCAAUGAAAAAUUGAUUAAUGCAUCACUGCUAUGAGUACUUGGGUUAUUGUCAAAGUUUUUAAUAUACACAAAAAUUUUAAAAAUAUGUUCUUAAGUGAUAUAUGAGCAC